rnacentral:rRNA from 1 species
GUGUCAGCAGCCGCGGUAAGACGAGGGAUCCUAGCGUUGUUCGGAAUUAUUGGGCGUAAAGCGGGUGUAGGUGGCUCUGUAAGUCAGGUGUGAAAGCCCAGGGCUCAACCCUGGAAGUGCAUUUGAUACUGCGGAGCUUGAGUGCUAGAGAGGUAAGUAGAAUUCCUGGUGUAGUGGUGAAAUACGUAGAUAUCAGGAGGAAUACCGGAGGCGAAGGCGGCUUACUGGCUAGACACUGACACUCAGACCCGAAAGCGUGGGGAUCAAACAGGAUUAGAUACCCUGGUAGUCCACGCUGUAAACGAUGGAUACUUGUUGUUGGAGGUAUUGACCCCUUCAGUGACGCAGCUAACGCGGUAAGUAUCCCGCCUGGGGAGUACGGUCGCAAGAUUAAAACUCAAAUGAAUUGACGG